GGAAAAGCCGCUAUUGCGUACCGACGACCCGUACCGUAAACCGACACAGGUGGAUGGGGAGAGAAUCCCAAGGCCGGCGGAAGAAGCAUUGUCAAGGAAUUCGGCAAAAUGGCCCCGUAACUUCGGGAGAAGGGGUGCCCGGGAAACCGGGCCGCAGAGAACUGGCCCAAGCAACUGUUUAGCAAAAACACAGGUUUAUGCGAAACCGGAAGGUGAAGUAUAUGAGCUGACGCCUGCCCGGUGCUGGAAGGUUAAGGGGAGGGCUCAGGACAGGAACUCCGGUUCCUUUCCGAAGGUCUGAACUUAAGCCCCAGUAAACGGCGGCCGUAACUAUAACGGUCCUAAGGUAGCGAAAUUCCUUGUCGGGUAAGUUCCGACCCGCACGAAAGGCGUAAUGAUUUGGGCACUGUCUCGACAAUGCAUCCGGUGAAAUUGAAAUACCAGUGAAGAUGCUGGUUACCCGCGCCAGGACGGAAAGACCCCAUGGAGCUUUACUCCAGUUUGAUGCUGGGAUCUGGUACUGCAUGUACAGGAUAGGCGGGAGGCAGUGAGGCAGCAGCGCCAGCUGCUGCGGAGCCAAUGUUGGGAUACCGCCCCUGCAGUACCGGGUUUCUAACCUGCGGCCGUGACCCGGCCGGGGGACAACGUCAGGCGGGGAGUUUGACUGGGGCGGUCGCCUCCGAAAGGGUAUCGGAGGCGCUCAAAGGUUCCCUCAGGAUGGACGGAAACCAUCCGGAGAGUGCAAAGGCAGAAGGGAGCUUGACUGCGAGGCCGACGGGCCGGGCAGGUACGAAAGUAGGACUUAGUGAUCCGGUGGUAUGAAAGUGGGAUUGCCAUCGCUCAACGGAUAAAAGCUACCCUGGGGAUAACAGGCUUAUCACUCCCAAGAGUUCACAUCGACGGAGUGGUUUGGCACCUCGAUGUCGGCUCAUCGCAUCCUGGGGCUGCAGCAGGUCCCAAGGGUUGGGCUGUUCGCCCAUUAAAGCGGUACGCGAGCUGGGUUCAGAACGUCGUGAGACAGUUCGGUCCCUAUCCGGCGCGGGCGCAGGAUAUCUGAAAGGAGCCGGCCUUAGUACGAGAGGACCGGGCUGGACGAACCUCUGGUUUACCUGUUGUCGCACCAGCGGCAUGGCAGGGUGGCCAAGUUUGGAAGGGAUAAACGCUGAAGGCAUCUAAGCGUGAAGCCCCCCUUAAGAUGAGAUAUCCCCGGAGGAAUCCGGUAAGACCCCUUAAAGACGAUGAGGUAGAUAGGGCAGGGGUGGAAGCAUGGCAACAUGCGGAGCUGACUGUCACUAAUAGGUCGAGGGCUUAACCAA
rnacentral:rRNA from 1 species